UGCUCUCGCCGCCCUUAAACUCUCUGGGUAUAGAGCUACGCUGAAAACAGGAAAACGUGACGGCGUGUUUUGCUCGCGAAAGUUCUCAGUCUUCGGUUUUACUCCCCGCCUCCGGCCCAGGCUAACUUUCCCCACCUGUCGGGGAGGGUCAAGGUGACUCCCAGUCUUACAUGUGGAGACCCACAAACUUCCGGGGCUGGGAGACGGCUGAGGUGCAGCACUGGCCGAGCGAAGGCAGGACCCGCUCUGUUCCAGGUCCCUAGCUGCUCAGUUGCUGGACUCGCCCUCCUGCACCCCCAAUAAUGAAUCGACGCUCUUCUGUUUAAUGUGAAGCGGAAUAAGCUGCUUCUCCUGGGGACAUGAACUCGAGUAGGAGAAUUAAGCCAAAAGAUAAGUUGAACUAUCACAUGACUGAAGACUUUCGAGCUCCAAAGCUGGCUACUUUUAGAAACAUUCAAUUGGAAGUGGCAAGAGGCUAAGGGUGAGGCAACCAGUUCUGAGACUUUCACUGUCACCCGCCCCACAUAAUGUUAUUACAAGAUAUUGAAUAUAGUUCCCUGGGCUAUGUAGUAGAUCCUUGUUGUUUUCAAUAUGUGGUGGAACCAGGGCCCCCACCCAGGUGGAGGAUGGCAACUUCAGGCUGAGGACAGGAUUCCUGAAACACAGUUCUGUUACCACACUGCAGCUCUCACCCCAAAUUUUGCCUAUAAAAAGUUUUUCCCCAAAAACUAUUGGGGCAUCCGGGGGUUUUGAGCUUGAGCGACCAAUUCUCUUUGUUUGGCCCUGCAAAAAACUGUCUCUGCUCCAAACUCCGAUGUUUCGGGUUGUUUGGCUUCGCCGUGCACUGAGUACAUGAACAUUUCGGUAACUCUUCUGCAGUAUCUGAUAUCAGGACUCACGUUGAUGAUGCAACGCCAUUCCACAGAGGCAGUGAACAAAGGACGUUGGCUGGACCUCUGGGUGUGACAUUUCCCCAGACCCCUCCGCUCAGUGUGUCCUUAAGGACACUCAUCACCUGCCUCCCAGACCUGUUCCUCCUCCUCCAUUCUGUAGCCCAGAUUGUUGUGUGGCUUCCGACGAGAGGACUACAUAUAAGGCACGCGGAACAGUGCCUGGCACGAGGCGGCACUAGGUAAAGCACACGGCGUGCUGCGCCGCCUGGGACGUGGUAAGCUCUGGGUCGGUAAAGCAGCAGUCAUCAGAACUGUCGUUAUUGCCAUUUGAAUGGAAAAUUCUGGAUUGUGUUAGGUGAGUUGUUACUUCUUUCCUUGUUGCUGAGGAGUGAGGAACACAGAGCUGACCUGUUGAGGGAAUUUUCUGGGCACCUUUUGUGUCAGGAGACAAAACAAUGGUGAGAAGAGAGGCUGGAAGGCUUAACUACAGAAGGAGGAUUACCAUCUUUGUUGGCCCGGAGUGAAUUCUCUCCCCGGGAAGCCAGAAAGGGGUGGUAAGGCACGUGGUUAAACCCGACGAGACUGACUCGGUGGCCCCCUGGCCUUGUGGGGGUUGGCAGCGCGGCAGCGUUUAGUGCUCCCCGGCCGGCAGAGGGGGAGGGAGACCAGCUCCCCGAGCUUCCCUGCCCCCAGGAUGCACACCGUCUGUGUUGUGUGUGUGUGAGAGAGAGGGGUGUGUGCAUGUGGGCUGUGUGGGUCUGUGUGUCUGUGUAUCUGUGUGUGUGGGGUAUGUGUGUCUGAGUGUACUCAUGUGUGGUGAGUGUGUGAGAGAGAUGUGUGCGUGUGGGGUGUGUGGAUCUGAGUGCCUCGUAUCUGUGUGGGGUGUGUGUGUGUAAUACAUGUCUGCGUGUGUGCUGUAUGUGUGAGAGAGAGGUGUGUAGGCAGUGUGUGUGUGUGUGUGUGUGUGCUGGGAGUGCAAGGGCAGGAAACUCAUUCCUGCACGACUCUUGAUGAGGCAAGCAUUUUAAAUUAUUCUUGGAUUGAGUGUUUUCUGUUAGUCGGACCAUUUCUUUUACAGGUGCUGGUAGGAAGCAUUAUUACUCUCCUGGGGACUUAAUUUUCUUCUUAAAAAGUUAAGUAAUCAUAUGUGUUUGAAGUAGGUCAACAAAGAGGAGCUGUCUGGUUCUGCUGUCUAAGUGAUGCUGCCUGUAUUGUCGUCUGCAUGACUUUUUAAUUAAAGCGCCUUCUGCGUUCACGAGUAGGAGCUGCACCCCCGUGCCUGAAACCACAGACCCGUUUGCACCGCACACGGCCCAAGAGCGGUGCGUCACAAAACAGCAGACAGGAAGAUCCUGCGUGCUCAUGUGACUUCAGGCUUUGGCUCCAGGGUUUCUACAAAGGCUAGCAGGACAGAGCGGCCACUAUUAUCUCAGAAACCAUGAUAUUGCUUAUGAUCUCAAAAACCGAAAUAGAGUGAUGCUGCGGGUGAGUCAGGAGACAGACGGACAUUCUGAUUCCAGCUGCACCACUUACUGUGUGUCUUGGGCAAGUUUCUGAACUUCUCUGAGCCUCAGUUUUUUGUCUCCAAAUUGGAGCAAACACUACAGCCCUACAAUAUCUUAUCUACAAUCCCCAAAUCCCAAAGCGAUGAAAAAAAAAGGACCUUGUUUUUUCAUUUGGCAGUGAAAUCUAAAUAAUCUGAAUUAAUUUGCUGUAAAAUCCUUCCUUGAACGGACACAAAGCUUUUUGCAGUCUGUGCAUAUUUUAUUUAAUGUGAACAUAGAUGUUUUGCUACAGAAUUGUAAAUAUAUUUGUUAUGGGGGUAUAGCUCCAGACCAAUGGGUACAGAAUAGAACAGAAUGCUUACAACAUACUAUUGCUCUAAAAUCCAGAAAUACCUGAAUUCCAAAACACAUUGGCCCAAGGAUUUUUGAUAAAGGACUGUGGAUCUUUACCUUCCUCAUAGGAGUGUGAGGACUGCGGAGCUAGCGUGUCAGCGCCCCUGGGUCAGCCCCUGCUGGGUCAUGUCCCACCCACAUUUGCCCCCAUGAGCCUUUCCCAGGUGCAAACCCCCAACCCCAGGCGGCACUGGAGAUCCUCACUCAGCAGCUGGUGAAGCUACCACACUUGGGCUGCGGGCCUCCUUGCUCACUGGUCUAUAAACAACUCCAGGGCUGGGAUUGCAUGCCACUGGUUAGCAGCUCAAAGUCCAUGUUCAACAAAUAUUUAAAAAGGGAAUUCAGAGCUCAUUUAGUAGGCGUCUCCUGGGCCUCAGGGUCUCCUGAUUGCCUGCCAGGUAGAGGGAGUUGACUUCAGGGGCGAAAGAGAAGAGAGGCAUGGGGUCUUGGGAAGGCCAGUGGGGGAGGCCCGGCCUGGGGAGGCCCUGGGAGGGACCCCCUGCAUCUAGCUUUUCCCGCCCAGCCCUGGUGUGGCUGUUACCAGAGGAUAAUUGUUAACUCUCACUUUUACUCUUUUAUCCUCAAAUGUGUCCUCUUUUGGGUAGUAUACCACGUGGUCCCUCCAUGCAAUGAGCAAGAGCAGGAAGUCUUACGGUGCAAGGCUUUUUUUUUUUUUUUUUUGCCUUUCUUUUCACUGAAAAGCGGGGGUGCCAAAAAUGGGAAGGACUCAGGGGUAGAGGAGACUCAGAGGAGAGGGUUGCUAGCAAUAGUCUUGGCCCCUAACAAUGAUUAAGAGCUCUGCCUCCAUAACGUAUCAACUAAAGGACACGGGGGAGUGGGCUGGCUGGGUGCUCCACCAACGUCCCCCUCCAAAACAUAUGUUCACCUUCGUACCCCAGAAACCUGUGAAUGUGACCUUAUUUGGAAAAAAUGUUUUUGUAGAUGUAAUUAAGUUCACUGUCUUGAUGUGAGACCACCCUGGAUUAUCUAGGUGGCUCUACAUUAGAUGACAAAUGUCCUUAUAAGAGAAACACGGGGAGAGACACACAGGGAGAAGCCAUGUGGAGAUGGAGGCAGAGGCUGGGGUGAUGCAGCCACAGGCCAAGGACAGACUGGAGUCCCCAGAAACUGGAAGAAUUCCCAGGAUUCUUCCCUGGGGCUUUUGGAAGGAGCCACCUCGAUUUCGGACUUCUGGCCUCCGUAACUGUGAGAGAAUAGAUUCUUAAGGUUUUAAGCCACCAGGUUUGUGGGAAUUUGUCACAGAGGCCCUAGGAGACUAGGACACCUAACCAUCGUGAACCUCAGUUGUCUCAUCUGAAAAUGAGGACAAGACUGGACCUGUAGCAGAGAAUAACUUUGUUUUGUUGGAGGUUUACAGAGAUACCAUGACCUGGCCCACGGGGAUGGCUGCAAGAACAAAGAAUGCCUGCAGCAAGAUUACAACAAUCAACCACACCCCCUCCCUUAUUUUUCCUCCCCCUCCCUUAUUUUUUGUAUAAAAGGAGCCUGCGUUCUGACUAGAGCAGGAUGGUUUUCCUAGACAUUGGUCUGCCAUCCUCUCGGUCAGCCAGCUUUCCGAAUAAAGUCACUAUU